GAGGGGAUAGCUCAGUGGUAGAGUACGUGCCUAGCAUGCAUGAGGUCCUGGGUUCAAUUCCCAGUACCUCCA
rnacentral:tRNA from 1 species